GACAUUGCGGGUACACAAGGAUUUGGGAUAAUGACUUGCAAGGAUUGCCUCUGGACUAGUGGUUACUCUUUGGUAACAUUUAAAAAGACAAUUUCUUAAUGUCCGGCACAGUGAACUUCAUCUCAGUUAUGAUGAACAAGGAAAAGCUGAUCAUUGAUGGGAAAAUCACAGGCGCUGAGAUACACCUAAAUCAGUCAUGCAGGAAAUCGGGAUUCUUUCUUCAGAGGAUUUUGGAUUAAGCCCAUUUUCAAGUCUGCAAAUCUUAUCAAACAAUACAUUCAAGGAGUCAAAGGACUGGUAAAGAAAAUAAGUUGGCCACUAUAGAUGACAUUUUAAUAGCUGACAAUGUGGCCUUUAAAAAGCUAACGAGACAGCAAAGAUAACUAACACAUUUGGAGAAACCUACAAUCUGAUCCCCUAUGUCUGAAGAAUACAGGCUACACAAUCAGUAGAAUGGUCAAAUGAAUCAUCUGUAAAAAAGUUUUGUUGAAUAUUUAAAAUUGGACUACUGGGAGUAUUUUUGAUACUUAGCUGAUAAACACCUGUGUCUCAGCUCAUGACCCUCUGUUCUAGCAACAGGGUAAGCACUCCAAAGGUGAGAUUCAUCUGACCAAGUUAAGACACCUGUCCUAGGAUAAGAUUAUUGUCUAUAUGAGUUCAGAUGCAGCUGUCUAAAUAUUAGGUACCUGUAUUAUGACAGCCAAAUCCCCUUUUACUGGUAGAUGAUCAAAAGGAAAGAAGGUGAUGAACCAGUGAGGAGGCACAAGGGCCAAGGGAAGAGCACAAGGGGCAGCUGAAGUUAAAAAGCUAAGGGAAAUGGGGGAGAACAACACUUGUAGCUCAACACUGUUCUGUGCACCCUAGGGAAGCUGAACUCAAAGUGGUAAAUCAUAUAUUUAUGCACAAAGGACUUUGUACUACGAGGGCUAUACUUCUGUACUGCCUUUAUUGCAGCUCCUAGUCAGACAUCAGGAAUGCUGCAUUGGUAGCUAUUGAUAAUAUGGAGAUAGAGUAGGAUUAGGAUUAGCAAAGGAAGAGGACAGGCUGGGCAUUAGGAAACAGACCAGAAUCAAAGUGUAAGGGUUCUGCACCCCAUAAAGAGGACCCUUAUGAUAGCAGUGUGCUUUACAGCAAGUCCAAAACUUCUCCAGCCUGAACCAGUCUCCCUC
rnacentral:lncRNA from 1 species